rnacentral:rRNA from 1 species
UUAAGAGUUUAUGGUGGAUGCCUUGGUACAAAAAGCCGAUGAAGGACGUAACAGCCUGCGAUAAGCCUCGGAUAGCGGACAAUACGCGUUUUAAUCCGGGGAUUUCCGAAUGGGGAAACCCAUCCCGAGUCAUGUCGGGAUAUUCUGGGACGAAUACAUAAUCCCAGUAAAGGUAAGCCAGUGAACUAAAACAUUUAAGUAACUGGAAGAAAAGAUACAAUAUUUGUAUUCCCUAAGUAGUGGCGAGCGAAAGGGGAAGAGCCCAAACCCUUCAGGUAGGGAGAGUUGAUUGAGUCUGCUUUGCGGAGGAUACCAACAAUCCGUCUCAACAGAGAUGGUUGCGGAAGGGGGUUGUAAGAGAAAGCGUUUGUGCGCUGUUGAGCACAGAAAAGAGUUAUCAUAAUCUAUUGCUAAUAGAAUAAGGUUGGAAAGCCAAACCAUAGAGGGUAAUAGUCCCGUAUAUGAAAGUGAUAGAUCUCUUUAGUUUUCAUCUUGAGUACUACGGUCUAGGAGUAAAACCGUAGGAAGCAGCCAAAACCACUUGGCAAGGCUAAAUACUUUUUGUAACCGAUAGUGAACAAGUACCGUGAGGGAAAGGUGAAAAGAACCCCUGUUAGGGGAGUGAAAUAGAUCCUGAAACCAUAAACUUACAAGCAGUCGGAGUCCCGAUUUAUCGGGAUGACGGCGUGCCUAUUGAAGAAUGAGUCUGCGAGUUAUAUUAUUAGGCGAGGUUAAGUCCGUCUCGGACGUAGCCGUAGCGAAAGCAAGUCCUAAAAGGCAUUUAGUCUAAUGAUAUAGACCCGAAACCAGGUGAUCUAUCCAUGAGCAGGUUGAAUCCCUUCGAAAGGGGGGAAGAGGACCGAACCGGUAAGCGCUGCAAAGCUUUCGGAUGACUUGUGGUUAGAGGUUAUACGCCAAUCGAACCUGGAAAUAGCUGGUUCUCCCCGAAAUAGCUUUAGGGCUAGCCUUGAUUAGUAGUUAGUGGAGGUAGAGCACUGUUUGGAUAGCGCGGGCCUUUUUGGCUUAGCGCAUCCUCACAAACUCCGAAUACCAUUAGCGUAAGAUCAGGAGUCAGUCGAUGGGAGCUAAGUUCCGUACGGCAAGAGGGAAACAUCCCAGAUCAACAGAUAAGGUCCCAAAAUACAUACUAAGUGGUAAACGAUGUGAAGAUUCUAAUACAGCUAGUAGGUUUGCUUAGAGGCAGCAAUCCUUUAAAGAGUGCGUAACAGCUCACUAAUCUAGAAACUUUGCACGAUUAAUUCAACGGGGCUCAAGUAUGAUACCGAUGCUUUGAAUUUUCCGUCCCUUCGGGGUCGGAAUCUGGUAGGGGAGCGUUGUAUGCGCAGCGAAGGUAAACUGUAAGGUUUGCUGGAGUACAUACAAGUGAGAAUGCAGACAUGAGUAGCGUAAAGCAGGUGAAAACCCUGCUCACCGAAUGAACGAGGUUUCCUUGGCCAUGUUCGUCAUCCAAGGGUUAGUCGGUCCUAAGCCGAGGCCGAAAGGCGUAGGCGAUGGACAACUGGUCAAUAUUCCAGUACUACUGAAAAUUCGUUAUCAACUAAGGAGGGACCAAGGUGGUAAUUCUGUAGUCACGAUAGGUCGUGAUUCAAGCAAUAAGUUAGUCUUUCUAGGUAAAUCCGGGAAGGCGAUUCUCCCUUACGGGGGAGGGCAAACGAGUUGUUACGAAAAGUCAAAGCCCACGGGCAGAGGCAAUUGCAGAUAAUCAACUUGCAAGAAAAACUUCUAUGUGAGAAUUUUUAGUAACCGUACCGCAAACCGACACUGGUGUUCUGGUAGAAUAUACCAAGGUGUGUGAGUGAUGCCUUGUUAAGGAAUUCGGCAUAAUAUCUCCGUAACUUCGGGAUAAGGAGACCCUAUAUUUAACUAUAUAGGGCGCAGAGAAAUGGUUCAAUCGACUGUUUAACAAAAACACAGGUCCCUGCUAAAGCGCAAGCUGAUGUAUAGGGGCUGACGCCUGCCCAAUGCCAGAAGAUCACAGAAGGGGGUUAGCCGUAAGGCGAAGCUUCUAACUUAAGUCCUGGUGAAUGGCGGCUGUAACUAUAACGGUCCUAAGGUAGCGAAGUUCCUCGGCGCUUAAUAGGCGUCGCGCAUGAAUGGCGUAACGAGUUGGACACUGUCUCGACAGGGCGCUCAGCGAACAUUGAAAUGGCAGUGAAGAUGCUGCCUACCCGCAGCAGGACAAAAAGACCCCGGGAUCUUUACUGUAUCUUGGCAUUGAGAUCAGAUUUUUAUUGUAGAGUGUAGGAAGGAGACUUUGAAGUCAGGACGCUAGUCUUGAUGGAGUCGACAAUGUAACACUUCCCUUUGAAGAUUUGAUUUCUAACCUAAUCCGUAAUCCGGAUUUGGAGACAGUGCCAGGUGGGCAGUUUUACUGGGGCGGUAUCUUACUAAAAUGUACCGUAAGAUUCCAAAGGUCAGCUCAGGAUGGAUUGGAAAUCAUCCGUAGAGUACAAUAAUAUAAGCUGGCUUUACUGCAAGACUGACAGGUCGCGCAGUUACGAAAGUAGGGUAUAGUGACCCUUUGAUGGCGUGUGGAAGCGUCAUUGUUUAAAGGAUAAAAGUUACCCCGGGGAUAACAGGCUGGUCUUACCCAAGCGUUCAUAGCGACGGUAAGGUUCGGCACCUCGAUGUCGGCUCGUCGCAUCCUGGAGGUGGAGAAGCUUCCAAGGGUCGGGCUGUUCGCCCGUUAAAGCGGCACGCGAGCUGGGUUCAAACCGACGUGAGUCAGGUUGGUCUCUAUCCGCUGUGGGCGUUAGAAUCUUGAGGGAAUCGACCUUCAGUACGAGAGGAUCAAGGUGAGUUAACCUCUGGUGCACCAGUUGUCCUACCAAGGGCAUAGCUGGGUGGCCACGUUAGUAUUUGGAUAAACGCUGAAAGCAUAUAAGCGUGAAGCCAAUCCCAAGAUUAGGAUUCUUUUAAGACCCCGAGUAGACUACUCGGUUGAUAGCUCCUAGGUGUAAAUGCAGCAAUGCAUGUAGCCGAGGGAUGACUAAUAGGUCGUAAGCUUAAACG